GGCUGGGACUGGUGGUUAGGGUCUGGAGCGGCGGUGGCCAUGGCUCUUGCGGUGGCUGUCGGAAGUCAAAGGGAAGAGGGAGGCAGUAGCUAGGGCACGACGGUGGUGGCGGUUUUGGCCGCUGCUCGCCGGAGGUUGCAGGAGGCAGGGGUUAUAGCUCGAGUUCUGGGGAUUUAGGGAGAGGGCUCGACGGCUCUGCUGUCAUUCCGAGCGGGCUAGGCGAGAGACGAGCGAGGGAGAGGGAGCUGUGCAACGGCGGCUGUCGCUUUACCGGCGGCUGCUGCUGCGGCGCUGAGUAUGUGGGAGUGAGCGAAAAGCGAAAAAGAGAGGACGGGGAUGAGAGUCGAGGGUUCCGGAGGGGCUGCGCUCUCGCCGGUGACGGAGGCGGCGCUUCGCCGAAGAAGAAGGGAGGGGCGCCGAUUGAGAGAUGUGUGAGUCUUGACCAUGGUUGUGAGUUAGAGAGAGAUCAGAGGGAGAGAAGGGGUAGGGCUUAGACAUCGACGCCGGAAAGUGAACGAGGAAGAAGGAGGCUGGGCGGCGCAGCCGCUAGAUGUGUCUGCGUUUGUGUUGUGAGUGUGACCGAGAGAGGGAGUAGGGAAGAAAAGGGCUUGAAGGCUAGGUGUUGGGCUUUGAGGCUUGGGCCAAUUGGGCCGAUUUUUUUUUCUAUUUUUUUUAUUAUUU
rnacentral:lncRNA from 1 species